rnacentral:lncRNA from 1 species
ACGGAAAGUCGAAGAGGCACACGUUAUAUGGAAGAAAUUAAUAAGACGGAAAAUCAAAGAAGCAAACAUUACAGGGAAGGAAAUAAUGAGACAGAUAGCCGAAGAGGCAGACAUUACGAGGAAGGCGAGCAGUCGCAAUGAUUGAAGAGUAAAAAUUUUGAGAAUGAGAAACUAUGGUGUUGCCACGUGGCAAAAGAUAAUGAGAAAUAAUAUAUGUGUAUAGAUAUU